rnacentral:rRNA from 1 species
UGCGUAGGCGGCGCGGUAAGUCGGGUGUGAAAUCUCGGAGCUUAACUCCGAAACUGCAUUCGAUACUGCCGUGCUUGAGGACUGGAGAGGAGACUGGAAUUUACGGUGUAGCGGUGAAAUGCGUAGAUAUCGUAAGGAAGACCAGUGGCGAAGGCGGGUCUCUGGACAGUUCCUGACGCUGAGGCACGAAGGCCAGGGGGCAAAC